UAUUAUUUUGCUUUUGGUAUCAUCUUUUAAAAUUUUUUCGAAUUUAAAUUCUUUAAGCAGUUGUAUUUUCGCGGCAGAACUUUCUUCCAUUUUAAAUUUGUCUCUUCUUGGGUAUAAAAUAUUUAAACGUCCGUUAUGUCUUACCGAUAGAAGUAAAAAAAUCCAAAAAGAUUGAGAGGUACAACAGCUUUUGAGAUGCUGAGACUAAAGAGCUUGUUGCAAGGCUUUAAUAGGUUGAUUCUACUACAUAAU